rnacentral:rRNA from 1 species
UACGUAGGGGGCUAGCGUUGUCCGGAAUCAUUGGGCGUAAAGAGCUCGUAGGCGGCUCGGUAAGUCGGAUGUGAAACCUCCAGGCUCAACCUGGAGACGCCAUCUGAUACUGCCGUGGCUUGAGUCCGGUAGAGGAGCAGGGAAUUCCUGGUGUAGCGGUGAAAUGCGCAGAUAUCGGAAGGAACACCAGUGGCGAAAGCGGCUUCCUGGUCCAGCACCGACGUUCAGGCACGAAAGCGUGGGGAGCAAACAGG